rnacentral:lncRNA from 1 species
UGGAUGACGACGAUGACGUAUAAAGGACACCGAGUGAUGAGAAAAGCUCACUUUUCCCUUUUGGGCCUGGUCAGUUUAAAAAUAAUACAAUAUAAUUGGAAGACAAAACAUUUUAUUUCAUCUACCAUUAAAUUAAUAAUUACAUCUUGUACAUUUAACAAUAUAAAUAACCACAGACAAUGGAAAUUCCAUCACAGCUAUCACACAAUUUGUCAUAUUAAAUGAUAAGGAAACUUUGAUAAAAACAAAUAUUUGAAUCUUAUUCUCACCCUGGUAACAAAUAGUUAAUGUAACAUCUGUUAAUCUGACAAUCAUUUUAGCUAAGUAUUUGCAUGAUCAAACUAACUCAUUAAAAAAAUACCACAAGCACAGCUUUAUUAACACAGUAAUAUAAAUUAACAAAAAUGCAACAAUUGUCAAUAUUAAAGUAAGCAACAAUCAUCCACAAUGUUCUACUACACUCACCCCUGCAUUUAUGCUUAUAGUUCAUAAAGUCAGUUCACUCAAAUGCAUUCUUUUAUACCCCCAGAACUUUGUUGUGAGGGUAAGAAAAAGGAAAACAAAAAAUAUUCAACUUACACAUAAAAUUGAAAUGAGUAAUAAUAUGUAAUAGAAUUGUAACACUAUGUAAUAAAUGUAAUAAAUGUAAUAGAAUUGUAAUAGAUGUAAUACAAUUGUAAUAGAUGUAAUAGAAUUGUAAUAGUAUGUGAUAAAGUUUGCCACAGAGAGACAGCAGCCAAUAACAAAAAAGACAUAAUUAUGGAGAAGAGAUCAGGGGUGCACACAUCAAUGAGACAGCAAUCAGAUGAUACAAUAAAAUCAAAAGAUAUGUUUAGGUCAAUAUCUACUCCGAGAUUACUCUGACUUCCAACUACUGUUUUGCCAGACAAGCUGGGUCGUGGGACGUCAGAGCUCGUCCCAUAUCAAAAAGUGGAUAUUUGCCCGUCCAAUAUAGAUGCGCUGCUUGGUUGCUUCUGGUGCCAACGGACGGCCUUGGAAUUAUAUAAAUCAGAUAUUAAUUUGUUUAUUGUUCAUUUAUCUCAUCAUUUAUGUAAGUUUCACCUACCUGCCACCCAUUAUUUUUUUUCCAUAUUUAAACAGUUUUCACAGUGACCCAUUGAUUCAGACAUUUUUACUUUUAUUUUCAAAAGGACGUCAUCCCAACAGUUAAUAAGAUAAUGUCUAGACUAGAAUAUAUAUGUGUUGCUGAUACAUAUAAUUAAGUCCAUAAAUUGUAAAUUGUUUAUUUUUGACGCAUUUUUAUUUGAAUAUAAGUUUUAGUAUGUUAUAAAUCAAAUAUCAGAAAUCGAGUUAAAUCAGUGAACAUGACAGCUAAUGCCCUUUAAAGGAUCAUUCUAAAAUUAAACAUUCAAACUUCUGAACCUAUCUUCUGUACUGUAAACAAACUUACACUAGAGAUUGCAUAGCAAUACAUUACAUUUCCAUACUUUAAAGUUCCUUUUAAUCACAAUAUUGUUUUUAUAUAUACAUACAAUAUAAACAAAAAAAUCAACAAAAAUAAAAUAUAGUAAAUUCAAAUGAUUUAUAAGUCAUACAUAAGAUUGAAUAUAAUUACAGAAUACUUGCACAAUUUACUCUAUCAUUUUAAUAUCAUUUAUAAUAUACAAAUAUCAUAUGACAUUUCAAAUACCCUCCAUAAAAUGGACACUUGGGGAAAACACAGUUCUUUUCUAUGUUCCAAAACUUAAAAUGAGCAGUUAAUUCAGGUCAAGAAUAUACAAGUUGACUAUCAGCUAGAUGAAAACACCAAUGAUUCCUUGAAAGUGACAAACAAAAUGGUGAGCAUGGAAUAAUUUCAUACUUGAAUUAAAAAAUCACAUCAAAAAUUUUAAAAUGUCAGGAAAAUGUACCAUCUUAGUUUCCAUAAUUAACAGCACCCAUCUUGAUGUAGAAAUACUAUUUCCUGUCAACUACACAUACAAAAUGUAUUGUUGUCCUGUCUUCCAAAUUAUUGUUAAUUAUUGAAUAAUUAUAGAUACAUAAUUUAUAUGCAUUGAUCUAAUAAGAAACAAAAAUAUUGUAGAAAAUCAAAAUUUUACCAACAUUCACACACAAUGAAAUUAACUGCUGAAUAAAUAUAUCUAUUCAAUUAUACAUUUUUUCGCUAGGAAUUAUAAUAUGACAAGAAAAGUUGUUAAGAAUCAUCCCAACAGAUAGCAGAAAUUAAUGGAACUCUUGUCUAUGUCAUUUUUCUUGAAAUACAUGAACAUGAUUAAAUUUCUAUCAUUGAUAAACGAAAUUGUUAACCUUUUAGUUUCAUAGAUAAGGAAUGUUUAAAUAGUGUGUUCAUAGAUAUAUGCAGUGGAAGCCACUUUUGUGAUGUAUUUAUCAUAUGAAUACAAAUUUGAAGCAUUUUCAUCUUACCAUUCUUCACAUACAUUUUCAAAGCUAAUGAACAUACAUGUAACAAAAAAAUCUAAAGCAGGUUAAUUAAAUACACACAGAUCAUCAAAAACAAGUGAGAACCACAGCAGGAAUGUGAAUAAGAUGCACAUAAAAAUAAAACUGCACACAAAAAAUAAACUAAAUAAGGAUCAAAUUUUAGAAAUUUGUUUAGGCAACAUUAUUUUCACUAUCAAAUCUUUUUAUAAAAAAGCAUAAAAGUUUUCUACCAAAACUUAUCUCUUAUCAAAUCAGCUUACACUUAAAUUUGAGAUUAAGGUUGUACCUAACACUACAGGGAGAUAACUUUGUAAAGUCAGCUAAACGUUUUAAUUACGUUGUGUUGUAAAAGGAAUAUUAAGCUUCUCAAUGAUCAGAAUUGGUGAUUGUCGAAUUGCUAUAUAACCAGUGUAUUUUUUCAGACAAAAUGGUUGGUUAAAAAAUUAAAAAUUUUAUAUUUUUAUUAAAGUCUCAAAGUAAAUACUUUGACAAGAUUUUAUGAAAAUUAAACAAGCCAAAUUAAUUUUAGUGAAAGUGUUGGGUACCACCUUAAGGCAGUGAACAAGACAUGUCACAACAAAAAUUAUCUAAUAUACACAUGAAAUCAUACUCCAGCUUUUGAUUUUUUAAGACCUCAAAACCUUAAUAAUAAUGUGUAGAAGAUAUAAAGAGACUACAUUGCUCUGUGACUAAUAAAAACCAUUUAUAUCUUGAGUUAAAGAGAUUUAUACUGGGAAAAGCUGCAGUGGACAAAUGUGAAAUCAAUUUGUAAAAUUGUGCCAUUAAUUUAGUAGUGAUCCUAAUUUGAUUGCCAAUGAGACAACUCUUCACAAGUGGCCAAAUGAGUCAAAUAAUACAGAAAUUAACAACUGUAGGUCACCCAUGUUGGAGAAUACUAUAAUAAGUGAGCUACACCAAAAACAACACAAAAUAAAAUAAUACAUUUAAAGAUCUACAAAGAUAGACUAGUGUGUGUUCCGUAUGAAAGAAUAUGGGAUUCUUCUCUUCAUCAAUGAUCAUUGUUAAUUGUUACAUCUUUAUCAUUAAAACAUAAAAUUACAAGAUAAUUAGAUUUCAUAUAGAUGUGUGUAAAUAUAAAUUAACCCUCAUCAAAACAAUAACAGUAUGCUAGUUAUGCAGAUUACAAAAAAUACAAUUGUCAUUCUUUUUACAGGAGGUAAAAAUAAGAACCUUUUAUAAAUGUUUUUUUUUUUUUAAUUUAAAGAGUCUGUUCCUUUUGCUGCCAAGAUGAGGGCAAAUCAGCACAAUUCCUUCAUAGCUCAAACCUUAUUCAUAUACUAAACCUGACAACUAGAAUGUAGAAAAAUAUGAUAUGUAUCCAGUAUAAAUCAUAUCUGAUUUAAUGUUGACAUCAUAAAACAAACUUUUAGUGAAGAGAAACUGUCAGAGUAAAAUAUAAUAAUUUUCAGAAAUCUUUAAUACAUGGUAGAAUAUAUAAGAUAUAUUGACAUGUUUCUUCUUGACAAUAUGACUUCAAUGGGACAAGAAGUAGUUGUAUAGUUCUAGGAUUUUAAUUUUGUCUAUUUAUCAAAGUUUUACCUGUAUGAUUGGUAGAUAGAUUCUACAAUGUUACAUUUCAUAUCAAUGAAUAUAAGUACUCCAUUUAUUCUAAAUUAUACACAAUGUAAACGUCUGAUAUAUAUUCCAGUAGGUAACCUGGUCACAAGCACUCUCUGAAGGAUCAAAUCACACAAUCAUCAUACAGCAAUUUCUAUUUUUUAUCAACUUACUACAAGGACCUAAUUCUUUCAUUGAGAAUUCAUGAAAUAUUAAUUAAUCAAAUUGGUAAAAAACAAUUAAAAGAAAACACUAAAAUGUUCCUACUACCCUCUAUAUCUUUAUUGAUAGACACCUACUUAUCUAUAUAGCAAUAACCUUGUAAAGAUAAUUCAACUCAUUAUUCAGUUCUACUGCACUUUCCUUUUGAAUAUUAACCUCAUUCAUUAAAUAAAGUGAUAAGAAGACAAAUAACUUUAUUCAUAUCGAACAUAUUUACUUUCCUUCUCCAAAGA